rnacentral:rRNA from 1 species
CAGUCGCCGCGGGAAUACGAAGGGUGCAAGCGUUAAUCGGAAUUACUGGGCGUAAAGCGUGCGUAGGCGGUUUGUUAAGUCUGUUGUGAAAUCCCCGGGCUCAACCUGGGAAUGGCAAUGGAUACUGGCAAGCUAGAGUGUGUCAGAGGAUGGUGGAAUUCCCGGUGUAGCGGUGAAAUGCGUAGAGAUCGGGAGGAACAUCAGUGGCGAAGGCGGCCAUCUGGGACAACACUGACGCUGAGGCACGAAAGCGUGGGGAGCAAACAGGAUUAGAUACCCCGGUAGUCCCUGUCUCUUAUAC